rnacentral:rRNA from 1 species
GACGUAGGGUCCAAGCGUUGUCCGGAUUUACUGGGCGUAAAGAGCGCGUAGGCGGCUUGUUAAGUGUGAAGUGAAAUCUCCAGGGCUCAACCCGGAAACUGCUUUACAUACUGGCAAGCUGGAGUGAUGCAGAGGUUUGUGGAAUUCCUGGUGUAACGGUGAAAUGUGUUGAUAUCAGGAGGAACACCAGUGGCGAAGGCGACUACCUGGCCUGUUCUUGACGCUGAGGCGCGAAAGCUAGGGGAGCAAACGGG